rnacentral:rRNA from 1 species
GCAAAACGCGAAGAACCUUACCAGGUCUUGACAUCCCGCUGCCCGCUCUAGAGAUAGAGUUUCCCUUCGGGGACAGCGGUGACAGGUGGUGCAUGGUUGUCGUCAGCUCGUGUCGUGAGAUGUUGGGUUAAGUCCCGCAACGAGCGCAACCCUUGAUCUUAGUUGCCAGCAUUCAGUUGGGCACUCUAAGGUGACUGCCGGUGAUAAACCGGAGGAGGGUGGGGAUGACGUCAAAUCAUCAUGCCCCUUAUGACCUGGGCUACACACGUGCUACAAUGGACGGUACAGAGGGUCGCAACCCCGCGAGGGUGAGCAAAUCCCAUAAAACCGUUCUCAGUUCGGAUUGUAGGCUGCAACUCGCCUACAUGAAGCCGGAAUCGCUAGUAAUCGUGGAUCAGCAUGCCACGGUGAAUACGUUCCCGGGUCUUGUACACACCG